rnacentral:rRNA from 1 species
UACCCAGAGGAAACUUUGGCUAAUACCGGAUAACAACAGAUGAGGCAUCUCAACUGUUUGAAAGGCCCUUAUGGGGUCACUAAAAGAUGGACCUGCGGCGCAUUAGCUAGUUGGUGAGAUAACGAGCCCACCAAGGCGAGGAUGCGUAGCCGACCCUGAGAGGGUGACUCGGCCACAUUGGAACUGAGACACGGUCCAAACUCCUACGGGAGGCAGCAGUAAGGAGUUUUCGGCAAUGGGGGAAACCCUGACCGAGCAACGCCGCGUGAGCGAUAGACGGCCCUAUGGGUUGUAAAGCUCUGUUGUUGAGGGACGAACUGUAAGCUUAGGAAAUGAAGCUUACCUGACGGUACCUUACCAGAAAGCCACGGCUAACUACGUGCCAGCAGCUGC